CCUACGGGGGACUGCAGUGAGGAAUAUUGGUCAAUGGGCGCGAGCCUGAACCAGCCAAGUCGCGUGAGGGAAGACGGCCCUAUGGGUUGUAAACCUCUUUUGCCGGGGAGCAACGGGCGCCACGCGUGGCGCCAGUGAGAGUACCCGGAGAAAAAGCAUCGGCUAACUCCGUGCCAGCAGCCGCGGUAAUACGGAGGAUGCGAGCGUUAUCCGGAUUUAUUGGGUUUAAAGGGUGCGUAGGCGGAUCGUUAAGUCAGUGGUCAAAUUGAGGGGCUCAACCCCUUCCCGCCAUUGAAACUGGCGCUCUUGAGUGGAAGAGAAGUAUGCGGAAUGCGUGGUGUAGCGGUGAAAUGCAUAGAUAUCACGCAGAACCCCGAUUGCGAAGGCAGCAUGCCGGCUUCCGACUGACGCUGAAGCACGAAAGCGUGGGGAUCGAACAGGAUUAGAUACCCGAGUAGUC
rnacentral:rRNA from 1 species